rnacentral:sRNA from 1 species
GCCAGGUAUGGUGGCGCAUGCCUGUAAUCCCACCGACUCAGGAGGUUGAGACAGGAGGAUCGCAAGUUUAAAGUUGGCCUGAGCAACUUAUGAGGCCCUAAGCAACUCAGUGAGACCAUGUCUCAA